UAGCGUAGGGCGCAAGCGUUAUCCGGAAUUAUUGGCGUAAAGAGCUCGUAGGCGGUUUGUCGCGUCUGCCGGUGAAAGUCCGGGCUCAACUCCGGAUCUGCGGUGGUACGGGCAGACUAGAGUGAUGUAGGGGAGACUGGAAUUCCUGGUGUAGCGGUGAAAUGCGCAGAUAUCAAGGAGGAACACCGGUGGCGAAGGCGGGUCUCUGGGCCGAUGACUGACGCUGGAGGAGCGAAAGCGUGGGAGCAAACAGG
rnacentral:rRNA from 1 species